GGAAUAUUGGGCAAUGGAGGAAACUCUGACCCAGCGACGCCGCGUGCGGGAUGAAGGCCUUCGGGUUGUAAACCGCUUUCAGUAGGGAAGAAGCGAAAGUGACGGUACCUACAAAAGAAGCACCGGCUAACUAUGUGCCAGCAGCCGCGGUAAUACAUAGGGUGCAAGCGUUGUCCGGAAUUAUUGGGCGUAAAGAGCUCGUAGGUCGUUUGUUACGUCGGAUGUGAAAACCUGAGGCUCAACCUCAGGCCUGCAUUCGAUACGGGCAAACUAGGGUUUGGUAGGGGAGACUGGAAUUCCUGGUGUAGCGGUGGAAUGCGCAGAUAUCAGGAGGAACACCAAUGGCGAAGGCAGGUCUCUGGGCCAAUACUGACACUGAGGAGCGAAAGUCUGGGGAGCGAACAGGAUUAGAUACCCUGGUAGUCCAGACCGUAAACGGUGGGCACUAGUUGUGGGAACCUUCCACGGUUUCUGCGACGCAGCUAACGCAUUAAGUGCCCCGCCUGGGGAGUACGAUCGCAAGAUUAAAACUCAAAGGAAUUGACGG
rnacentral:rRNA from 1 species